rnacentral:ncRNA from 1 species
CAGCCUGGUAAUCCCUAGCAAGGAGCCAGUAGUUAGCCUUGAAGCCAAAAUCGUGAGACUAGGUUUAAGUGUAGGCAAACAAGAAUUCGAGCCGUAAUGCGAAAGCGUGAAGUUAUUGAGCCUCGUAAAUUAUAAAUAAGUAGAUGCUGAUAGUGUCACCUACCUAGCAAGCAAUAUCGGUAAUAUCGAUAAGCGAGAUAUUAUGAGAAAUCUACGGGGUCUU